UACAGAGGUCUCAAGCGUUGUUCGGAUUCAUUGGGCGUAAAGGGUGCGUAGGUGGCGGGGUUAGUCAGGUGUGAAAUCUCGGGGCUCAACCCCGAAACUGCACUUGAUACUGCCUUGCUAGAGUACUGGAGAGGAGAUUGGAAUUUACGGUGUAGCAGUGGAAUGCGUAGAUAUCGUAAGGAAGACCAGUGGCGAAGGCGAAUCUCUGGACAGUUACUGACACUGAGGCACGAAGGCCAGGGGAGCAAACGGG
rnacentral:rRNA from 1 species